GACAGAGGGUGCAAACGUUUGUUCGGAAUCACUGGGCGUAAAGCGUGUGUAGGCGGCUUCUCAAGUCGGGUGUGAAAUCCCAGGGCUCAACCCUGGAAGUGCAUUCGAAACUGGGUAGCUAGAGUACUGGAGAGGAAGGUGGAAUGCUUGGUGUAGAGGUGAAAUUCGUAGAUAUCAAGCGGAACACCGGUGGCGAAGGCGGCCUUCUGGACAGAUACUGACGCUGAGACACGAAAGCGUGGGGAGCAAACAGG
rnacentral:rRNA from 1 species